ACACAUGCAAGUCGAGGGGAACGACAUCGAAAGCUUGCUUUUGAUGGGCGUCGACCGGCGCACGGGUGAGUAACGCGUAUCCAACCUGCCCACCACUUGGGGAUAACCUUGCGAAAGUAAGACUAAUACCCAAUGACGUCUCUAGAAGACAUCUGAAGGAGAUUAAAGAUUUAUCGGUGAUGGAUGGGGAUGCGUCUGAUUAGCUUGUUGGCGGGGUAACGGCCCACCAAGGCGACGAUCAGUAGGGGUUCUGAGAGGAAGGUCCCCCACAUUGGAACUGAGACACGGUCCAAACUCCUACGGGAGGCAGCAGUGAGGAAUAUUGGUCAAUGGACGAGAGUCUGAACCAGCCAAGUAGCGUGCAGGAUGACGGCCCUAUGGGUUGUAAACUGCUUUUAUAAGGGAAUAAAGUGAGAGUCGUGACUCUUUUUGCAUGUACCUUAUGAAUAAGGACCGGCUAAUUCCGUGCCAGCAGCCGCGGUAAUACGGAAGGUCCGGGCGUUAUCCGGAUUUAUUGGGUUUAAAGGGAGCGUAGGCCGGAGAUUAAGCGUGCUGUGAAAUGUAGAUGCUCAACAUCUGAACUGCAGCGCGAACUGGUUUCCUUGAGUACGCACAAAGUGGGCGGAAUUCGUGGUGUAGCGGUGAAAUGCUUAGAUAUCACGAAGAACUCCGAUUGCGAAGGCAGCUCACUGGAGCGCAACUGACGCUGAAGCUCGAAAGUGCGGGUAUCGAACAGGAUUAGAUACCCUGGUAGUCCGCACGGUAAACGAUGGAUGCCCGCUGUUGGUCUGAAUAGGUCAGCGGCCAAGCGAAAGCAUUAAGCAUCCCACCUGGGGAGUACGCCGGCAACGGUGAAACUCAAAGGAAUUGACGGGGGCCCGCAC
rnacentral:rRNA from 1 species